rnacentral:piRNA from 1 species
UCCGUAAUCGAUGAUAAAGAU